UUACAUUACAAGGGUUUCCAAAAGAAGUAUGAAGUUUCAAAUUUAGAGAAAAGAUUACAAACUGUAAAGCUAGGGUUAAAAACAGCGGAAAACAUACGCGAAGAAUUACAACACGUCAUCAAGGUGGAUGUCGUGCUAAGCCCAGACACGACAUCACUCGAGAUCAUCAGUAUUGGUCGGGGACGGAUCCCAUUCCACGGACCAACCUUCUGAAAGAGCACAGGACCAGGGCAAGGGAAGAGUAGGGCCUUCAAGACAUUACCU
rnacentral:lncRNA from 1 species